AGUUUUAAUUAACAUAUAUUUUUGUGCUAUAUGCUGGAACCAUAUACAUAUAUUAAAAUAUGUUAAAAUUUAUAGUAAAACUA